GGAGCCGGAACGUGCUGUCGAGUGCUUGCCCCGCCCACCUCGGCCUAGUUUGUUCAGCCUCUAGGUCUUGAAUUUCCGGCCAGGUUGCGGCUGGGCAAGAGCGAUGCUGCCUGGCCCGCCUUGGCUUUGAGGAGAGAGGAACGUCCAGAACCGCUGCAGCUUCCUUUCGGCGCUGAACCCCGGCGGCCAUGUCCACGGGGUUCUCCUUCGGGACCGGCACGCUGGGCUCCACCACCGUAGCCCCCGGCGGGACCGGCGCAGGCGGCGGUUUCUCCUUCGGGACGGGGCAUCUAGGAAAUACUGGUUCCAGUAGACUUUAUUUUGUGUUCUUUAUAAAUAAGCAACCCUUCAGUGGGUCUCAAUUUGGAACUCUUGGAAGCACUGCAACUCCUGCCACGACAUCUCCUUCAGGUGGUUUUGGAACCGGGCUCUUUGGAUCGAAACCUACCACUGGGUUCACUCUUGGAGGAACAAAUACAGGAAUAGCAGCAACUAUAACUACAGGAUUAACUCUGGCUCAAAAAUGCCAUGGUUCUCUGUAGCGAUACGCCGAAGGGAAUGUGAGAACGCCAGCUACUACAUCUGCAUCUGCAACAGGUUUCAGUUUAGGAUUCAGUAAACCUGCCGCAUCUGCCACACCAUUUGCUCUCCCUAUUACUUCUACCUCAGCUCGUGGUCUUACUCUUUCGUCUGCUCUGACGUCAACUCCAGCAGGACUUGGACAGAAUGCUUUAGGCUUGACUUUGGGAAUCACAGCAGCUACUUCAACUGCAGGCAAUGAAGGUCUUGGUGGUAUAGAUUUUCGUACCUCAUCAGAUAAAAAGAAUGUCCUGGAGCUUCUCAUCGGAGACUUGCCCUAGAAAGGAGGAAAACUGAUAAAGCUCAGACAGAGAUUGAGAAUGAAAAUGGAACCACUGUAAUAGAUCUUCCAGGUACUUUAUCCCUCGAAACGGACUGUUCAGGGACAGGCACAGCACCUGCUGAGUGCAGCUUGAUAUCAGCGUCUCUGCCCCCGUGGCCUGAGGAGCCUGGCCUGGACAACCCCGCCUUGGAGGAGAACACGGCCACUGACACUACGCAGCAGCCAGCAGCCAGUUAGUUUUCCGGAAGGCAUAAUUACUACAAUUGAAAUUCACCGGUCUGAUCCUUAUAUUCAGCGGAAUUAGCAUUGUGGGCAGCAAUGAAAUGCCACUGAUCAACAUUGUUAUCCAGGAAGUCUGUCGGGAUGGGGUGAUCGCCAACGAUGGAAGACUUCUUGCUGGAGACCCAAUUCUUCAGGUCAACAACUGUAACACCAGCAAUGUGUCUCACAACUAUGCCAGAGCCGCCCUUUCCCAGCCGUGUUCCACGCUGCACCUGAGCGUGCUGCGAGAGCGGUGCUUUGGGGGCCGGACCUACAGCCACCCCGACAGUAGCUCUCCCCGGGAAGAGGUCUUCCACGUAGUCUUUCACAAACGGGACUCUGGUGAACAACUUGGCAUUAAACCCAUUCAAAGGACCGGUGAACCAGGUGUUUUUUAUCCUUGAUCUGUUGGAAGGGGGCCUGGCUGCCCAGGAUGGAAGGCUGAGCAGCAAUGACCGAGUGCUCGCCAUCAAUGGACACGACCUGAAGCUCGGAACCCCUGAGCUUGCCGCCCAGAUCAUUCAGGUACACGCGGAUAUUCAUUCCAUGUGCUCAGCCUUUAUGUCGAUGUUUUCGUAACAUGAGAACCUGAGGGAUAUUUGAUAUUUCAUGGGGGAAAUCAAACACGGUUCCCCAAAUCCUUCAAAAUGCACAAGAGAUGAUUUUAUCAUUACAGAUAAAAUCCUGUCCGGAAAACUGUAUCCCUGUGAACAUUUAGCCUUGCUCUUUAUAGAGUGAAGGCUCUAUAUUUUCACAUGGGUUUUUCAUUUGCUCCAUGGGCUCCACCUAAGCCCACACAAAAAAAACACAUUUAUGUCCACAUUUAACAGGUGAGACAAGCAAAGCUUGAAGGAGCUGUGGUUCCAAAGUUGUGACUUCCCUGCUCUUGUAACGUUCACUCUCCGCUUCACCUCCAUACAAGUGGGGAUAAUCAAUUUUUAUUGAGAAGAACUCAUUAUCUCCGUAGUGCCCUUUUUAUAAAGCAUUCAGAGCAUUUCAAACACAUCAUAACUUGUGUUCUUACAGUAUCCCUGUGAAGUAAAGAUGGUUAUUAUUAGAGAAAAAAAUGUUUUUCAAUAAGAGCAUUAAAAUAGGUAAAGUAGAGGGGCACCUGGGUGGCUCAGUCAUUAAGCAUCUGCCUUCGGUCAGGCAUGAUCCCAGGGUGCUGGCAUCCAGUUUCACAUCGGGGCUCUCUGCUCAGCCAGGAAUCUGCUUCUCCCUCUCCCACUCCCUCUGCUUGUGUUCCUUCUCUUCCUCUCUGUCAAAUAAAUAAAUAAAUACAUAAUAAAUAAAAUCUUAAAAAAAAGAAAACAGCUUUAAAAUUUUUUUUAAAAAAUAAGAUAGAAAACGUAGAAAAUAAUCCAGGCCAGACCUUCCGGUUCUAUAACCUACCAGAGCAUUUAAUGAUAUGGGUAUCUCCUGCAAUGAUAGGGGUGAAACAAAGAUGUGUAUGGUGUUUUAUUUUGUUUUGUUUUGUUUUGUUUUAAGUAAGCACAAGAAAACACUCUGACAUAGAGGAAACCAAGCAGUAACAUAAUCGAGCAUCAGGAAUUAAAGAUCUUACCAGUGUGUUACAUGCCAAGAAAAACAUAUUACUGUAAAGAAGGAACCACCUGAGUCCCUGGGAAUGACAGUGGCAGGGGUCAGAGGAAGCAAGAGUGGUGAACUGCCCAUCCUUGUAACCAGUGUGCCAGCUCAUGGCUGUCUGGCACGUGAUGGCCGCAUCAAAAGAGGUGAUAUAUUGCUGAAUAUCAAUGGCAUUGAUUUGAACAAUUGAAGUCACAGUGAGGCCAUGGCUAUGCUAAAAGCCAGCGCCGCGUCCCCUGCUAUUGUCCUGAAAGCACUUGAGGUCCAGACUGUCGAGGAGGCAGCCCAGGCUACUGAAGAGCAGCCAGGCACCUUCAGUGAGAAUGAGUAGGACUCCAGCUGGUCCCCGUCGUGGGUCAUGUGGCUUGGGCUUCCAAGGUACUGACAGCGUUUCAGCAGUUUCAUGGAAUAAUCAUAGUGACAACAUUUCUCAGUAUGGAACACAGUAAAUUCAUUUGUCCAGGGUGUGAGGGGGAAGGUCCUGGUCAGAGAUGAAAGUGGCAAUGGCAUAUCAAGUUAUAGAAGAAAAGGGUAUUUUUUUCCUUAGGUUAUUAUAUUUUAAAAGAUAAAUUUAAGGGGCCUCUAGGUGGCUCAGUCGGUUAAGCAUCCAACUCUGGAUCUCAGCUCAGGUCUUGUUCUCCGGGCCAUGAGUUUGUAAAAAAGAUUUUUUUUAAUUCUUAAAAAAUUAAAACAUUCUUAAAAAAUAAACCCUUUACCUUAUUAAAGGUAAAUUUAAUAUGUAAGAACUCAGCUAAAAAGACUUGGUGUAUCUGUUUAUAAAAAUGAAUAAAGCCAUUCUGUCCAUGACUAUUAAGAAGGUUCUCAAGUGGACCAGCCAUGAGAUUUGGAUGUUCAUGCUCUUGCUUUAGAAAAGCUGUCAUUUACCACACGUGUACAUGCUUAGACUUUGUGUGCAUUUUUCACCAGAAAAAACAGGUCAAAGUGUGGGGCCUUUUGAAAAGCUUUUCUAAAACCCCUUUCUUAAUCUUGUUAACUCUCUCUAAAAAGGCAGGAUGUCAGAACUCAGUUUUCAUUGGACAUGAGAGACUCUUUCAGCCAAACCACUGGUGUCCGAGAGUAGGUCUUCUCACCACCUUCGGGACUGUAACCCACCAGGACAUUCUGUAGUUGGUCAUUGUCUGCUCAUGAAAGUGUUUCAGCUCCUGAUGAGUGUUGUAUAUACUUGGGUAUUGAAGUUGGAAGAAUGUGUAUUACUGUCUUUGUUACUAGAUAACUUUAGAGGAAUCCUAAAACUGAACUAUGAUGAAACUUUCUGAUUCUGAGCCAAGUAGGAAAAUGACUGAUUUUUUUAAAUAAAAAUAAACAAUAAGAAUGCCAGUUUCUGAGA